rnacentral:rRNA from 1 species
GAUGAACGCUAGCGGCGUGCCUAAUACAUGCAAGUCGAGCGAACGGACGAGAAGCUUGCUUCUCUGAUGUUAGCGGCGGACGGGUGAGUAACACGUGGAUAACCUACCUAUAAGACUGGGAUAACUUCGGGAAACCGGAGCUAAUACCGGAUAAUAUUUUGAACCGCAUGGUUCAAAAGUGAAAGACGGUCUUGCUGUCACUUAUAGAUGUAUCCGCGCUGCAUUAGCUAGUUGGUAAGGUAACGGCUUACCAAGGCAACGAUGCAUAGCCGACCUGAGAGGGUGAUCGGCCACACUGGAACUGAGACACGGUCCAGACUCCUACGGGAGGCAGCAGUAGGGAAUCUUCCGCAAUGGGCGAAAGCCUGACGGAGCAACGCCGCGUGAGUGAUGAAGGUCUUCGGAUCGUAAAACUCUGUUAUUAGGGAAGAACAUAUGUGUAAGUAACUGUGCACAUCUUGACGGUACCUAAUCAGAAAGCCACGGCUAACUACGUG